GGAGACUGAAGCUAUUGACGCCAAUGUUCGAGGAGAUUAGAGAGAGCAAGGAGCAAAUCUCUGAAGAAACUGUUAAAGCUUUGGUCUCGCUGAAAGAAGCUUUGAUUUCGGCGAAGGAGUUGCUUAGAUUCGGCAGUGAAGGCAGCAAGAUUUACCUGGUUUUAGAGAGAGAG